CAGGUUUACCUGUGUGACUGCGUACCUUUUGUAUAAUGGGUCAGCGACUUAUAUUCUGUAGCAAGGUUAACCGAAUAGGGGAGCCGGAGGGAAACCGAGUCUUAAUUGGGCGUUAAGUUGCAGGGUAUAGACCCGAAACCCGGUGAUCUAGCCAUGGGCAGGUUGAAGGUUGGGUAACACUAACUGGAGGACCGAACCGACUAAUGUUGAAAAAUUAGCGGAUGACCUGUGGCUGGGGGUGAAAGGCCAAUCAAACCGGGAGAUAGCUGGUUCUCCCCGAAAGCUAUUUAGGUAGCGCCUCGUGAAUUCAUCUCCGGGGGUAGAGCACUGUUUCGGCUAGGGGGCCAUCCCGGCUUACCAACCCGAUGCAAACUGCGAAUACCGGAGAAUGUUAUCACGGGAGACACACGGCGGGUGCUAACGUCCGUCGUGAAGAGGGAAACAACCCAGACCGCCAGCUAAGGUCCCAAAGUCAUGGUUAAGUGGGAAACGAUGUGGGAAGGCCCAGACAGCCAGGAUGUUGGCUUAGAAGCAGCCAUCAUUUAAAGAAAGCGUAAUAGCUCACUGGUCGAGUCGGCCUGCGCGGAAGAUGUAACGGGGCUAAACCAUGCACCGAAGCUGCGGCAGCGAACGUAUCACUUAAAGCGAUUCAGCGGGUUACGAUUGACGGAGCGAAGCGACGUCAAAGCGUAUACAAAGUCGAGUCGGUUUAAGGAUACGUUCGUUGGGUAGGGGAGCGUUCUGUAAGCCUGUGAAGGUGUGUCGUGAGGCAUGCUGGAGGUAUCAGAAGUGCGAAUGCUGACAUAAGUAACGAUAAAGCGGGUGAAAAGCCCGCUCGCCGGAAGACCAAGGGUUCCUGUCCAACGUUAAUCGGGGCAGGGUGAGUCGACCCCUAAGGCGAGGCCGAAAGGCGUAGUCGAUGGGAAACGGGUUAAUAUUCCCGUACUUGGUGUUACUGCGAAGGGGGGACGGAGAAGGCUAUGUUGGCCGGGCGACGGUUGUCCCGGUUUAAGCGUGUAGGUGUGUGUUCCAGGUAAAUCCGGUUCACUUUAACACUGAGGCGUGAUGACGAGGCACUACGGUGCUGAAGCAACAAAUGCCCUGCUUCCAGGAAAAGCCUCUAAGCAUCAGGUAACAUCAAAUCGUACCCCAAACCGACACAGGUGGUCAGGUAGAGAAUACCAAGGCGCUUGAGAGAACUCGGGUGAAGGAACUAGGCAAAAUGGUGCCGUAACUUCGGGAGAAGGCACGCUGACAUGUAGGUGAAGUGAUUUACUCAUGGAGCUGAAGUCAGUCGAAGAUACCAGCUGGCUGCAACUGUUUAUUAAAAACACAGCACUGUGCAAACACGAAAGUGGACGUAUACGGUGUGACGCCUGCCCGGUGCCGGAAGGUUAAUUGAUGGGGUCAGCGCAAGCGAAGCUCCUGAUCGAAGCCCCGGUAAACGGCGGCCGUAACUAUAACGGUCCUAAGGUAGCGAAAUUCCUUGUCGGGUAAGUUCCGACCUGCACGAAUGGCGUAAUGAUGGCCAGGCUGUCUCCACCCGAGACUCAGUGAAAUUGAACUCGCUGUGAAGAUGCAGUGUACCCGCGGCAAGACGGAAAGACCCCGUGAACCUUUACUAUAGCUUGACACUGAACAUUGAGCCUUGAUGUGUAG
rnacentral:rRNA from 1 species